GACGAACGCUGGCGGCGUGCUUAACACAUGCAAGUCGAACGAUGAACCGGAGCUUGCUCUGGGUAUUAGUAGCGAACGGGUGAGUAACACGUGGGCAACCUGCCCCAGACACCGGGAUAACCAUUGGAAACGAUGGCUAAUACCGGAUCCGACCACUUCGGGCAUCCGAUGGUGGUGGAAAGGAUUCUGGUCUGGGAUGGGCCCGCGGCCUAUCAGCGUGUUGGUGGGGUAAUGGCCUACCAAGGCGACGACGGGUAGCCGGCCUGAGAGGGCGACCGGCCACACUGGGACUGAGACACGGCCCAGACUCCUACGGGAGGCAGCAGUGGGGAAUAUUGCGCAAUGGGCGAAAGCCUGACGCAGCGACGCCGCGUGAGGGACGAAGGUCUUCGGAUUGUAAACCUCUUUCAGCAGGGAUGAAGCGAAAGUGACAGUACCUGCAGAAGAAGCACCGGCUAACUACGUGCCAGCCGCCGCCGUAAGAC
rnacentral:rRNA from 1 species